UACGUAGGGUGCGAGCGUUAAUCGGAAUUACUGGGCGUAAAGCGUGCGCAGGCGGUUUUGUAAGACAGGUGAGAAAUCCCCGGGCUUAACCUGGGAACUGCGCUUGUGACUGCAAGACUCGAGUACGGCAGAGGGGGGUAGAAUUCCACGUGUAGCAGUGAAAUGCGUAGAGAUGUGGAGGAAUACCGAUGGCGAAGGCAGCCCCCUGGGCUAACACUGACGCUCAGGCACGAAAGCGUGGGGAGCAAACAGG
rnacentral:rRNA from 1 species